AUGGUGGGCUACAGGGCUGGCUCCCAGCGGCGCCGCCCCACGGCUCUGCCCCCCGCUGCACUGCCCAUUUAUGUUGCCUUUUGUUUGAGCUUCAGGAAGGGGCUGUUGGGUCCAGCCCCUCCGCUGGUGCUGGGCAGCCACAUGCUGCCCCUCGCCUGCCACAGCAAGCGCCGGGGACGGCCCUGGAGCAGGGGCUGCGGGACACAGAGGGACGCGUGGACUCCCCAGACAACCCUGCCCCGGGGCAGCGGGGAGCUUGGUGGGGUGGCUGGAAGGAAAGACAAAGCCUUCCUUGCCACUCUGCCUCUGCCCCAAACCUCUCCGUGGGCCCAGGCGCAACCCCAGCCAUGCCUGUCCCCUGCACAGUCCAGCCGGGGGGUGGGGGCAUCCCUGGCCAAGCUCGGCUCUUGGGGGGGGUCAAGCCAGGCACCCUUUGCCAUAUUCAAGACCCUGCCCCUUAGGGCAAAUGGUUGGGGAAGAGAUUUAUUAAAAAAACGGGCUAGAGCUGGGCCCAAGGAAUGGGGGCUUCCCACCUCCCCUCCCAGCCCUGCUGCAUGGGGGGGGGGGGGGAGGUCUGGGUCUGGGGACAAUCCUGGCACGUUGCCAGAGGAGUUUAAUGUGGGGCCUGAGCCCAGAGGGCAGACCCAGCACUUAGCCCUCCUGGCACCCUCUACUGAGCGAUUCCCAUUAUGGCAGGGCCUCCGGGGGUCCCGCUCAGCCUACUUCCCACCCUGGCACUCGCCCACAUUCCUGCUAUGCCCAUCGCUGUGGUAUCUGGGCACCAAAGCUCUUCCCCAGUCACCCUCAGGCACCCGUGCCCGCUGGCAGACCCCGAGCCCUGGCUGGAGGCACCUGUCCUUAUGCAGCGCUCGGCUGGUAUCUCUGGCUCAUGUCUCCCCCCCCUCUGGGCCCCGAGCCUCCCCUGCAUGGCUCCAGGGAGCCCCCCCGGCAACACCCGGGAAAUCUGCCCUGGCUCUUCCCUCGAAUGCAGCCCCAGCCCGCCCAGGGACACAGGCAGCUUCUCCAGCCCGCGCCAGGCAGAGCCAGGUGGCUGAGGGCUCCCUGCCCAGGAUCCACCCCCCCAGUGCUGGCGCCCCUCAGGCCUUGUUGAGAAGAGGGUGGAUCGUCCCCUGA
rnacentral:lncRNA from 1 species